ensembl:lncRNA
AUGGAAUUGAAAGGCACAGACAGAAUAAUCAGCAGACUCUCACCAUGCAAGUGCCAAUACCACUGAGUAAUGAAAAGGAAAGCGUGGGUGAUACGUGCACGAGUGGAUGGACCUUCAGAUAUUAUACUAAGUAGUUUUAAGCCAAUUUCAAAAAGAACCACCCACAUGCGCAUGCGUGUGUGUAUAGCUGGUGAACACUCGGUCAGCUCUAUGGAUCGUUCCAAUGCCAGCAUCAUAAUGCUAACGUUUCAGUCUAGAUCUGUGAGGUGCUGAUGUUGCUGGAGGAGGGUGAAGAGUAUAUGGGGCCUCUUGUACACCUUUUCUACAAAUUCCUCGGUAGACAAAACUGAGGAAAGGCUCCAAUAGGGGAGGACCUGAAUCCAGGCAACUGCUUCUCUGUGAAAAAAUGGCAUCACUCAGGACGCUUCCCAAGAAAUAUUUGAGCAGCACCUCAGCCAAUAUGCAACUGCCCCAAAGAGGAAAUGCAGGAGCACUGUAGAACCCAAAGGCAGCAUUUGAAAGAUUUUCACAGUGUGCAUCCCAUCCUUCCUCAUGACAGCCCUGGAAGAACCGAAGCUGAAGAAUCGUGUUGCCGCCCUUUGCAUCCAUGGCUUCCUCUGGUGAUGAGUUUCUCCCAGCGAGCAGAAAUCACCACUUGGCCACCAUUAAGCAAGUGCUCAUAAACAAAGUCUAAACUCUACUACAAUAAGGUUUGCGUGGAAGGAGAAGAGGAAUUUUUACAAAGCACCAUAUGCAGCAGAAAUGUCUCUAAAUACAGUCUGAGGUGAGAAGGAAGAUCAGGGGCAUCUUCAAGUCCAGUGUAGAGCAGCACAUGACCUUGGUUUUGGCCAAUUAUUCAUCCUUUCACUAACACAAUUAAUGUUGGUAAGAGCCUAGGUGGUCAACGAGGUAACCAUAUAAAUAGAAAGAAAGCAAUUCAUUUCCCCUGCUAUCAAAGGGGGGCUAUUUCUGUAAUAGGUACUUUCCUGAACCAGAAAUUAUUAUACCAGUCAACACAGAAAGUACUGAGCAAUUUCAGUUUCAUUAUCUUGUUUAGUUUUGGCAACAAUCCUUUAAAGCAGGUUAGACCUGAGGUCCAGACAGGCUAAAUAACUGGUUCCAAAUCACACAGAUAUUUGAAAGAAAAGCUGGAAAUUGAGAUCAGAUCUCUAUGAUGAUAAAACUUACUCUGCACUAUGUCACUAUUGCAGAUUCCAUGAGAUUUCAGAGCACAAAGGGAUUGGUUGGGAUUUAAAAUGUUCAAAAUUUGAGCUCUCAGCUCACAAAUUCUUUCAGUCCAAAAAGAGUUGCUGCAGUACAGUAACUAUUUCCCUUGUGCCAAAAACAUUGGUCCUCUUGGUCCCGAUUCCCUAGAACCUACAGAUAAUCAUGGGCAGACUUCAGUGGGAACAUCAUGGGUUGUCAGCUGUGUCAGAGAUGGACAUUUGUAGGUGCUCCCCUGCAUCAGUGGAGCUUGGCAAAUCUGAGCACAAAUAGAUGAAAGUGGAAGGGGUUUUGUGUUUGGAGCCCAUUUAGAUUUUGGUUUACCUCUUGGCUACAUCAUUGGCUAUGUGACCUGGGUCACUUUCCAUAAUCUUGCAGAACCUCCUCUUCCUUCAUCUGUAAAACAGAUUCUAGUACCUCUCCUCCCAAGGGCCCAUUUUAUGGGCUGAGUGCAUAGAACCUGUUGACUGCUCCAGAGAUCCAUCAUGAUGAGUUAUCGCCCCUUUCUCUGUCUGAGUCCUGAGUCUAGAGCCAUUCAACUCUGACUUCUUCUAGCCCACAGAUUUUAGGUUCCUCUGGCUCUGACGUAAACAAGGCUGAGAAGAUCAGCUCUCUAAUUUUCAAGGCACAUGUGCCUGAGGGUCUUCAUAAGGGGACAUUUUGUCCUGAAAAGGUGAAUGGGUUUGCAAAGUUGACUGGACCUUAAUUGCAGACAAGGAAUUUCAGAAAACCCUGAGCCAAUUUUCAAGAGAGAAGAGUGACUUUCCAAACACAGAGUUAGAUUAUGGAGAAAUAUAAGAUUAUGUGUGCAACCCUGAAUGUGAGCCUGUGAUGAUGUUAGAGAUAUGGAUUUCUCUCAUUUCUUUAAUAAAAUCUGGUACCUAUCCCACAUUCUAGGCCUUGUGCUCAGCCACCCCACGAGUUAUCAGUUAUCCACACAGGGCCUGGCCUGAUGGCCUCUUGGGGUAGACAGGGAUGUGACUAUCUAGGUCCCAUAUUCUUUCUACUGCUAACUUGGGCUCAGAUAAAGCUACCUACAAAAGAUGCAGUGAUAGUAAUUUUAUAAUAAAGCUGAUGCCCAAAUGCACUGAUUGCUUUCUGGAGCUCUCUAUGUGUCUCCCUGGUCCUACUUCCUGUGUCACAUUCCCUUCACAUGCCUCAUCCUCCUGCGUUUGCUACGAAGACCAGUGGAUAAAUUCUCACCAGAGCCUCAAGCUGCAGGAAAAAGAGAAGUGAAUAUUCAUCUCUGGUGACAUGCAAUUGGUCUACCUUCCUGGAUGUGGGGAUAAGAAUAUAGAGCAACAGUCAUUUAUUUUCUUGAGUUCCAAAAAUCACUGUGGGUGGUGACUAUAGCUAUGAUAAUAACAGAUGCUUGCUCUUUGGAAUAAAAGCUAUGACAAACCCAGACAAUGUAUUAAAAAGCAGAAACUUCAUUUUGCUGACCAAAUUCUGUAUAGUCAAAGCUAUGGUUUUUCUAGUAGCCAUGUACAGAUGUGAGAAUUGCUCAUAGAAAAGGCUGAGCAUUGAAGAAGAUGUUUUAGAAUUGUGGUGCUGGAGAAGACUCUUGAGAAUCACUUGAUCAAACCACUCAAUCAUAAAGGAAAUCAACCCUGAAUAUUCACUGUAAGGACUUUUGCUGAAGUUAAAACUCUAAUACUUUGAC